UAACUCAAACUUACUGAAACAAUUAUAUAAAUUGAUGCUGAGAAUUUCAGUAUGAACAAUGAAACAUCUACAGAGAAUAUAUGCCUAACAAAACCGUGUUUGUUGCCAGGACUGAGCAGCAAAUAUGUCCUGGUGAUUAGCUAGCUAGAAGUGUAUUUACAUUUACAUUUACGUCAUUUAACAGACGCUCUUAUCCAGAGCGACUUACAGAGCGUUCUUCCUUUAAAUGUUUAUUUACUUUGUCAAACUUCCUUGCAUGUCUCAGUCAAAAUGCUGGUCCAGGUGAAGUACAGCCAACAGCAGAAAUAUGUGAAGCUGGAUGAGGAUGAAGGACGGUUUGACUUUAUGCAAUUCCAUGAAAACGGUUACCAUGGCUUAGGAAAAAGGUUUUAAACCACACCCAUGUUCUUUUAAAAGCUCAUUGUGCAAGCUCCAUAAUGUUGUCGAUUCUGAUUUCUUUACAUGCCUUUAUCAGACUCUUUUAUACAGUAAAUGGGGUUAAAUUGCUAAUCAUUUUCAGUUCUGUAAUGUGUGCUUCAUAGAGUGUAAAGUAUUAAUAUACACCAAAACAGUCAAUAAAAAAAGCCAAUCAUCAAUUUUUAAAUUUGGACUUAAGAGGGAAUGGGUUAUGUGAGGGAAAAUGCUCUAGGUCUAUUUAAGGAUUAUACAGUGGUGGAUGUAUGUAUUUAACGUGAACAGUUAUUGGCUGUGAGGCAAGAAACAGUGCUGACUUCAAAGGCACAUUCAGUUUGACCUUACUAUCUUUUCCAGUCAUCGAGAGAUUUUGCCUGCCACCUGAUGCAAAAGUUAUAUACAAGGAUGCAACAGGGACAGAAGUUGAUGCAGAAAUAUUCAGCGACCCCGUUGGACAAGGCAAUGUGGUGCUGACAGUAUUCUCAGAUCAGGAAUUCUCUGAUUUCUCCUUGUCUUCUGCUUCUGAGACGUCUGACUCAAGCUUCAGCUCAAGUGCAUCAACUAUAAUCCUAGAUGAUGUCCCUAGCAAGAGACAAAGAAUUGAGUAUACACACGAUGCUGUGUCUGCUGAACAGGUUUCUUAAUGCUUUCACAUUUUUUCACUCUGAGUCUCUAGAAAAGCUAUUUAUCACCAUGUUUUGUAUUCUAAUGUUUUAGUUUUUUAUUAGUUGAUUGAAGCUGUGCUAAGAGGCAAGUCUGGGGGUGAAGAAGUACUACAGGAGUACAAAACAACAGAAAUCCUAACAGAUGCUGCAAGAAGAAAAAUGGUUAACAUCCUGGUGGCUCACAUGAUUGACAAUCAUGGGCACCGCCCCACUAAAGCAAUCAGAGAAGAUUAUGCACGUGGGAUAGUGAUGUUGUUCCCUUCCCUCAAGGAUCCAUACUCCAAGAAGGGCUAUGUAAUAGGCAUUAUUAUUGUUAACUCUUUCAUGUCAUGUUGUGACACAAAACUGUGUGGACGACAUUGAUAUUUGAAUUCCGUGAGAUUUCUCAUGAGCCUGGUAUGACAAAGCAUUUAUUUUAAUUUUUUUCAUUUCAGGAACACUUCUAUUGUCACGUUCGUUAUAAACGGCGGACCAAGGCGCAGCGUGAAAUGCGUACAUCUUUUAUUAAGUACACACACGAACAAAAACAACAAA